rnacentral:lncRNA from 1 species
UCUUCAUACUCCAAAGGACAAUGCAGCUUUUCUGGCAGUGUUAACAAAUGUUGUCAUAAACUGCAUACUGUUCUGAUUAGCCUCAAGUACAUGGGUAUGGCUUCAUGCCAAGUGUCCUGCAUGAAUCAUAAGAUGCGUCUGGGAGACGACUGUGAUUACCAGGAGCUCUAACAUUACUGCAAGUUUGUUGUUCC